UACAGAGGUCUCAAGCGUUGUUCGGAUUCAUUGGGCGUAAAGGGUGCGUAGGCGGCUUGUCGCGUCGACCGUGAAAACUUGGGGCUCAACCCCAAGCCUGCGGUCGAUACGGGCAGGCUCGAGUUCGGUAGGGGAGACUGGAAUUCCCGGUGUAGCGGUGAAAUGCGCAGAUAUCGGGAGGAACACCGGUGGCGAAGGUGGUUCUCUGGGCCUUACCUGACGCUGAGGAGCGAAAGCGUGGGGAGCGAACAGG
rnacentral:rRNA from 1 species